UACGUAGGGGCCAAGCGUUGUCCGGAUUUAUUGGGCGUAAAGAGCUCGUAGGCGGUCUGUUGCGUCCGCUGUGAAAACUCGGGGCUUAACCCCGAGCCUGCAGUGGAUACGGGCAGACUAGAGGUAGGUAGGGGAGAAUGGAAUUCCCGGUGUAGCGGUGAAAUGCGUAGAUAUCUGGAGGAACACCGGUGGCGAAGGCGGCAUCCUGGACCAACACUGACACUGAGGAGCGAAAGCCAGGGGAGCAAACGGG
rnacentral:rRNA from 1 species